GCCGUCCGCCGCGCGUCUUCGUAGACUGCAGGAGUCCAGGGCGUCUGGGGACUGUGACGGCGCCCAAGGCGGGGGAUGUGGCGGCUCCGGGUCGCCGCCUUCUGCCCCCGCCUCUGUGAGGCCUCUCGAGGCAGUGUCUGUGUCUGGGGCAGCGACGCCGACGGCGCUGGGGGCGCGAAGGGGCUCACGCUCCUGCGUUCCCCUGGCGCCGGUGAGUGGCGGGCGAGGACAGGGUCCGGGAGGGGGAUUGGCGCGAGCGCUUCCUGCCUCCGCCCGGGCGGGGCUCGGCCUUCUCACCUGCCCCCACCCACGGCGCCGUCGGAUCCCAGAGCGGCUGGUGCAAGCUUAAAGUGUUGCUGCCAGACCUUUCUUCUCUUCUAAUUUACCAAGUGAAGAAUGAUGAAAUAUCCAACUAUAAUUUGUGGAUUUCUCCUUUCAAUGCUAUCAUUUUUGGUGCUUCAUGUAUUUUUGAAGCUCUAUUAUUAGCCUCUCUUGAACCUUCACAGUCCAGCCGAGCUGCCAUCUCUUCAAGGAAGUUUUCCCUGAAGCCCUCAGGUCUGAUGCAUUUUUCUGUCUCUGCAGACCAGCUCCUCCUGCCUCCAAAUCUCAAUGGAAGAAUGCGACAUUCUGGAUUCAGCUACCCAAAGAGGGGUCUUUUCCCCCUCUUUGUCUCUAUUAUACAUUUUAUAGGAAGGAAUUCUGUCCCAGUUAAUUCAAACUGGGACCAGAGGAACAGGGUCCCGCUGCUCAAAAUGGCUGUCACCCGUGGGUAAGGGGAGCAGUCAGAGAGUCAUUGUGACUGGGGUGGCAGUCCCACUCCAAUCCGCCUUAUGGCUUCCUAGCCUGCAACAUACAUCCUCCCAGACACACAAAACGUGCCUCUGCCUGAGUCUUCCUGGCAGGGAGUUUGGUACCCCCCAACAUUGGGAGGGGAGCUUACAACACAGGACUAUCUCUUCCCAUAGAUAAUCUCCUCACAAAGCUCCACUCAGGACCACUUAUAUUCUUGAGGUAAGGGAGGAGGUUCAAAUGUCAUGUAACAGUUUUUUGUUUGUUUGUUUGUUUGUUUUGAGGGAGGGUCUCGCUUUGUCACCCAACCUAGAGUGCAGUGGCGCGAUCAUGACUCACUGCAGCCUCAAAUUCCUGAGUUCAGCCUCCCCAGUAGCUAGGACUACAGGUGCUUGCCACCACGCCCAGCUGAUUUUUUUUUUUUGGAGAGACAAAGUCUCUCGAUGUUGACUAGGCUGCUUUUGAACUCCUGGACUCAAGCAAUCCUCCUGCCUUGGCCUCCCAAAGUGUUGGGAUUACAGGUAUAAGCCACUGUACCCGGCCCAUAUAACAGAUUCUUAAGGUUAUUUCUUUUGAAAGUUUGCAUAUAGUGACUUCACACGUCACAUUGUUUUACAACUGAGGUAUAUUAAUGCUUAAUGGAAAUUUCCAUUUUAUUAUUUAUUUAUUUUUAUUGUAUUUAUUUAUUUAUUUUUGAGACAGAGUCUCGCUCUGUUGCCCAGGCUGGAGUGUAGUGGCGUGAUCUUGACUCACUGAAACCUCCACCUCCCAGGUUCAAGCGAUUCUCCUGCCUCAGCCUCCCAAGUAGCUGAGAUUACCGGUGCCUGCCAUCAUGCCUGGCUAAUUUUUAUAUUUUUAGUAGAGACAGGGUUUCACCAUGUUGGACAGGCUGGUCUCGAACUCCUGACCUCAGAUGAUCCAUCUGCCUCGGCCUCUCAAAGUGCUGAGAUUACAGGCGUAAGCCAUCGCGCUCAGCCUAUUUAUUUAUUUUUUGAGACAAAGUCUUGCUCUGUCGCCCAGGCUGGAGUGCAAUGGCAUGAUCUUGGCUCACUGCAAGCAAUUUUCAUGCCUCAGCCACCCGAGUAGCUGAGACUACAGGCAUGCACCACCACACUUGGCUAAUUUUUGUAUUUUUUAGUAGAGACCAGGGUUUCACCAUGUUGGCCAGGCUGGCCUCAAACUCCUGACCUUAGGUGAUCCACCGCCUCGGCCUCCCAAUGUGCUGGGAUUACAGGCAUGAACCACCAUGCUUGGCUGGAAAUUUCCAUUUUAAUAUCUUGUUUACAGAUAGCUUGAAUAAUGCUGGGUAGUGGGAUGGUACACAGAACAGAAUAUAUUCUUCUAUAUGUGCAUAUAUUUGAUUGCAUAUAUAAUACAUAUUAUUAUAUAUUAGGCAGGGUUCUGAGUUGCAACUCUAAGCAGGUUAAAGGAAUUAAGGAUAGACUUUGUUUUCUGACAUAACUGAAACGUUCAGGGAGCUUCAGGUGCUAUUGAAUUCAAGGGUUCGACAACCUCAUUAGCUUGCCCUUAGUGGUUCUGUGUCCUUUCCUGUCUCCUUCUCACCCUCUUUCCCUCCCUUCAUUUCUCAGCUCUGCUUUCCUUUGGCUUCACAUAACUCCAGGCUCAUGUCAUCCUUUUUGUCCCAAUCUUAGAUAAAAAGACCAUCUUUCCUUUCAGGCAAUAGAAUAUGAUUGGCUAGGCCUAGGUCACUUGUCAACCUCUAUACUCUUACGUUUUUGGAGUGGGGUAGGAGUAGGAGAAAUAAAGAAUUCUACUUUA